UGUACUUCUCCACAAUAAACACGAGCUGUGUGUGCUGAGGUUUAAAUGUUUAAAGGAAAUGAGGUCACAGGUCGGUGAUAUUUCUAAAUACACCGUCGUCAGCCGGAUAUCUUACGCUGAAGGCAAAUAUACAAGUGGCAGCAAGAGACCAUGACUACACUACACUACCAAUGACAGAACAUUGGGUUGAUACCGGAAUUAAGGUGUCAUCUAUGGAAGAGGUCCUGGAGAUUGAAGAAACUACAAAGAAGCAAAGUGUGUGCAAGAAAUGGCACUAGGAGAGAAGAUGGCGUUUGACAUCCUCCAGAUUUGGUGAGAUUUGUAAGGCAACAGACCGUAGAAAUAAGGAACAGCUGUUCCAGUCUCUCUUCAGGCCUGCCAGACUCACUUCAGGCCUGCCAGACUCACUUCACCGGCCAUCAUCCAUGGACAAACUUUUGAGAGGGCUGCUAUUAAAAAAAUUGAAGAAGUUAAUGGUAUAACAGUCAACUCGUGUGGUUUGAGGGUUGGCAUUAAUAACAACUUGCUUGCUGCCUCACCAGAUGGCGUAACAAGCCAGGGUGACAUUGUAGAGGUCAAAUGUCAAUUAUAAAGGUAGAAAUAAUGCAAUUUCUCUAAAUAACAACUUUCCUUUUUUAAGAAAAGAUGAAAAUGGAGACAUGCAUCUAAAGCAAAAUUACAAUUAUUUUUAUCAAAUUCAAGGACAACUGAACAUUUGUAAGAAACAGAGGUGCUUUUUUGUAGUCUAUAUUUUUAAAGAUA